AUUGAACGCUGGCGGCAUGCCUUACACAUGCAAGUCGAACGGUAACGGGCCUUCGGGUGCCGACGAGUGGCGAACGGGUGAGUAAUGCAUCGGAACGUACCUUUCAGUGGGGGAUAACGUAGCGAAAGUUACGCUAAUACCGCAUAUUCUGUGAGCAGGAAAGCAGGGGAUCGCAAGACCUUGCGCUGAUUGAGCGGCCGAUGUCGGAUUAGCUAGUUGGUGGGGUAAAGGCUCACCAAGGCGACGAUCCGUAGCUGGUCUGAGAGGACGACCAGCCACACUGGAACUGAGACACGGUCCAGACUCCUACGGGAGGCAGCAGUGGGGAAUUUUGGACAAUGGGGGCAACCCUGAUCCAGCCAUUCCGCGUGAGUGAAGAAGGCCUCGGUGUAAGCUCUUUCAGCAGGAACGAAACGGGUAGGCCGAUUAAUAACUGGCUACUAAUGACGGUACCUGAGAAGAAG
rnacentral:rRNA from 1 species